UUGCACGCUGGCGGCAUGCCUUACCCAUGCCAGUCGAACGGCAGCACGGGUGCUUGCACCUGGUGGCGAGUGGCGAACGGGUGAGUAAUACAUCGGAACAUGUCCUGUAGUGGGGGAUAGCCCGGCGAAAGCCGGAUUAAUACCGCAUACGAUCUACGGAUGAAAGCGGGGGACCUUCGGGCCUCGCGCUAUAGGGUUGGCCGAUGGCUGAUUAGCUAGUUGGUGGGGUAAAGGCCUACCAAGGCGACGAUCAGUAGCUGGUCUGAGAGGACGACCAGCCACACUGGGACUGAGACACGGCCCAGACUCCUACGGGAGGCAGCAGUGGGGAAUUUUGGACAAUGGGCGAAAGCCUGAUCCAGCAAUGCCGCGUGUGUGAAGAAGGCCUUCGGGUUGUAAAGCACUUUUGUCCGGAAAGAAAUCCUUGGCCCUAAUACGGUCGGGGGAUGACGGUACCGGAAGAAUAAGCACCGGCUAACUACGUG
rnacentral:rRNA from 1 species